CAGAAACAAAAUAUUGUAUGCACGUCCGCUGCUCUGCAUGUCCAUGAGAUGAGGUCUCCUAUUGCCAUGGUCGUGUAGUUGCACUUGGCUUAAUCAGUGAGAACGACGUGCACAUAUCUCUACUACUUAUUAAAACCGUAAAGGUAGCCUGCCGUUCUGCCGUCCGUCGAUCUGGACCGUCCAUCUUGCUGCCCACAUAUCUGCACCGUUCAUCUUGUUGCCCACACCUUCACCAAGGCUCCUCUUUCCCUCGAUUUUCUCUCCCUUCUGCCUUGGCAUCGCAACCGCAGCCCGGGAUGCGCUCCACCCCGACCGCCAAGCGCCUGUCGCCGCCCGCGAUGCGCUCGACCCCAACAAAUUCUCUCACAAGAUCUGGCGAAACCCAUCACCUCCGCUCUCCUCCUCUACCCUCGGGAUCCUGGUGGCCAACGUCGUCCUCGUUGGCGAGAUGACCUCCAAGCUCCACCAGACCUCGCGCUCCACCGACGACUGGAGGCCUCUGCCCCUUCGGGAUCUCCUUAUUCACAAGGCGUCGAGGCCGCCGUCGACCACGUCAUGCCGCUACGCUAGGAGGAGGCGUCGACCAACAUCGGCUUCGCAGUGGCCUAGGCGUGCCGUGCUGAUGUGCUCCGCCGUUUCGCCCGCCUCCCUCCCCAAAGCUGCUUCUAGGCCGUCGCGAUGGAGGCAAUCAGCAACACCAGGUUAACCCUCGAGAUCCUGGUGGCCGACAGCGUGGUCCUCGUCGGCGAGAUGGUGACCUCCAAGCUCUUCCAAAUCUGGCACUCCGCUGACGUCCAGAGGCCUCCGCCCUUUGGGAUCUCCUUAAUCACAAGGUGGGACAAGCACCACGGCUUCUAGCUCUACUUGAGCGACCCAGCUGGCAACUACGGCGGGUGGAAGGUCGUCCCUAUUGGGGCCAACAGCCAGUGUGCACAAGGGGGAACAGAGCCGUGUGGCUUCUGGUGCCCGUUGAGGAAAGGUGAGGCGAGGUGCUCACCAUGCACCUCAAGGUGGAUGACCUCACGUGGCCAUAUACGCCCUUUGUUUAAGUUCUUGCAGAUCAACUUUAUGCAGAGCUUGUGGAACCUGAGAAGCACAUGCAGAUAUUCUCUCGUAGGAAAAAUGAGGUAGUGAGAUGUUACUUGGAGAAAUGGUAUCUAAAUUUGUGUUGCUUUCUGUUUUGAGUUCUGACCUUUCAACUUGCAGAUGCUAAACAUACUAAACAAGUGUGAGAGAAAUACUACAGACAUUUACGAAUGUCACACAUUUUUUCUAAUACUGAUUCAUAUCAUAUUACAAGUAUACUCUACUUAUAUUUCCUUUAUUUUUAGCGGUGGAGUUCAAUUGUAUCUUUUUAACAAAAUAUAAGGAGUUUCAGUUCAGAUUAUGCACUUUUCAUGUUCUAUCUAUUUGCUUUGUAAACAGAUUUACCAAAAAAACUCAGAAGAUAGGCAUGAGAGCUAUAAAUAUUCUUGGAAUAAAAGGUGAGGCUGCAUGCACUUGUUUGGAUCUCAUGGUAGGAAACGAGUUGUUGCUGCUAAUUUUCCCUAAAAUAGGAAAGGUAGGGAAAUUCUUUCUGGAUAAAUUAUAUGGUAUGUCCAAUCCGUUAUUUCGCGACUACGUUGAUGAUCCGUUGUUACCGCAGUAAGGAUUCUACAAAUAGUAUGGCUCUUUUUAUCCUUGAUUGAUGCGGGGAUUUAUUAGGAACUAGGCAAGAAAGUCAGAUCUUUUAUAUAAUCUUGCUCAUUCCGAUUUUUGCCCUACAUCCUGAUUCGAUAUAUAGUGAAAUAUAUUUUGGACUUAGUUCUGGGAGUGAGGGGAUUUUUAUAAAAACGUGUAUGAGCCCAGUGAGGAGAGGCCAUGAAGGUUCUAGGAGUGAAGGGAUUAGGAUCGGGAACUGCUGCUGCAUCAGGCGCAACAAGGCAAUGAGGAGGAUGUGUUUCAGGGCAAUGGGUGUUGUAGGAGCAUUGAUAUAAGUGACGCCCUCACUGAAGUUGGUCUGACCUGCCUUGAGGUCCUCCUCACCAAGUGAAGCCUCGCCUCGGUGAAUCAGGAAGAAUGCUUUACAAAUCCGAAUAUAAGUUCAGUACGAUAGUGCAAACAGAGAGCAUCAGCACUAAAGAAGAUAGGGAGAGUUCAAUGCAUGAUGUUUGAUUUGUUGACACUGGAAGAGGCGACUAAUUGAGGCCGUUGUCAUUGCCACCGGUGUGCACACAUUCUUUGUCAAGGCUGCAUAUCUUGUCGAUUCAACAAACCAAGUUGGUCAUUUUCAGAAUGCAAGCUAAGUGUGACGCCGCCACAGAAGACCAUGCCCACUGUAUCUAUACUUUAUACUAAUUUUUAACGUCCAAAGGACACCAGAUGUUUCAAUGUUAACGAUGUUGUUGUUAUACACUGAUGUUUUGUUCUUAUUUGCUUGCAACUUUUUGCAGCUGUUCGUGCUAUCGGUUUGGAAAGAACAUGUGGAAAGCCAAUCUCGGAUCUUGCUUCCUUCAGGUUUCCACAUUGUAGACACACAAGAGUCCAGCCUGCGACAAACGCUCCUGCAGUUGAUGCUUCUUCCAGUAGUUUGUGACAGAUUGCUCAAAGAAAAGCAAGACAGUUCGCCAAUCCUAGAAGUGGAAAAAACAACAUAGAAUAAUUAGCCAGCUACAGGGAGUAAACCAAUAAGAGAAGAAACAUUGUAAUGCCAUGUUUCCAAAUGGGCACAAAGAAAUUUUGCCUAAGACACUACUGUCCCAAUUGCUUCAGCCCUUAUUCUUCGUAGCGGUUUCUGCCGUCUGGCCCGGUUCUGGAAUUAUGUGGCCAUCAGCUGAUUGUCAACAGUCUCAUGAGAUUGGAGCCUAGAUCCAGUUUGCUUUGUUGGAAAACUUCAAGCACCUCUAGACGGAAGGAGAUUGGAGCCUAGAUCCAGUUUGCUUUGUUGGAAAACUUCAAGCACCACUAGACGGAAGUUGUCUGCACUGAAGAUCAGGACACGAAGAUCGCGAGCUUUAACAAGGCUCGCCUUGUGCGGAAGGUGUAUUUCAGUGAGAUCUCCAAGAUGAAGCAUUAGGGGGUCAAUCGCCCCAGAUUUUACGCGUAGCUAACUUAGUAGGGCACCCAUAAUCCAUAAUUUAUUCUCUGUAGUUGUAGCAGCGACAUAGAGGUGUCAUUCUGUAGCACAUUGUGUAACAUGUAGGAGAGAGAGAAACACAUAUCCCCAUUCUUUCUACUGAAACACCAGAAAUAGUUGCUCUUGCUCCAUAAUUCGUUAAUCUGAACUUCUGAAGCCAUGCCAAGGCCUUAUAUUGAUCCUCUGUUGUCAUAUUGAUAAAAAUA